AGCAGGUGUGCCCCUCUGCAGCAGGUAGAAGUGUGAGUAGUUGCAACCCCUUGCAAAAGGAAAACAAAGACAGUGAUUUCUGUAGGUGCAUUUGAGCUUUAUCUUGGUUUACCUUUUGUCUUGCACUUUUUUUUUUCCAGGGAUGCUGAAACCAUCAGAACAUUCAUGUUACCUUCAGUGGCUGACCAUGCUACACUCAUCUGUGAAGGUUCAAGAAAUACACAGCAAUAAGUGAAUACCAGGCCCAUGUUUUUCUUUGCGUUAAACCUAAAACCCAGCUGAAAAGAGAAUCAGAGAGAGAAUAGAAGAUUGGCACAUGACAGAGCCUUGAACUCCCUCCCUAAGGUAAACGGAGCAACAUCUCACACCUCCUGUUGGAGUUAACCAAGUGAUACCGUUGGUAUAUUUGCCCUGCCCAAAUCUCACGUUGAAACGCAAUUCCCAAAGUUGGUGGUUGUGCCUGGUGGGAGGUGAUUGGAUCAUGGGGGUGGAUUUCUCAUGCAUGGCUUAGCACAAUCCCUUUGAUGCUGUCCUCACGACAGUGAGUUCUCGCGAGAUUUGGGUGUUGAAAAGUGUGUGUCACCCUGCCCCCAUUCUUGCUCCUCCUCCCACCAGGUGAGAUGCCU
rnacentral:lncRNA from 1 species